rnacentral:lncRNA from 1 species
UAUGCUUGCACAAACAUAAGACCACAGCAAAUGGCAACAUAACACAUGUUCAAAUCACACAAUCAACCCUAUAAGUCCUUAUGGGCAAUUACUACAUGUUACUACAGGAAUAAAAGAUCAAAUGCAGGAACAUACUUAAUCCAAUCCUAGACAAGAAAGACAGUCAGUCACUGAAAUCUUAACUGUGGGACAGAUUCUAUCCUCUUCGAAUUUGGCUCUGGACAGUUUCUAGCCUCUUCGAAUUUGGGCUCUGCAUUGUCUACUGGAAUUAGGGGGAGUUGCUGAGCCACUUCACUCAUUGUUGGCCUCUUUGUAUUGCUUU